AACGAACGCUGGCGGCAGGCUUAACACAUGCAAGUCGAGCGCCCCGCAAGGGGAGCGGCAGACGGGUGAGUAACGCGUGGGAACAUACCCUUUAGUACGGAAUAGCCUCGGGAAACUGGGAUUAAUACCGUAUACGCCCUACGGGGGAAAGAUUUAUCGCUAAAGGAUUGGCCCGCGUUGGAUUAGCUAGUUGGUGAGGUAAUGGCUCACCAAGGCGACGAUCUAUAGCUGGUCUGAGAGGAUGAUCAGCCACACUGGGACUGAGACACGGCCCAGACUCCUACGGGAGGCAGCAGUGGGGAAUAUUGGACAAUGGGCGAAAGCCUGCUCCAGCCAUGCCGCGUGAGUGAUGAAGGCCCUAGGGUUGUAAAGCUCUUUCGCUAGAGAAGAUAAUGACGGUAUCUAGUAAAGAAGCCCCGGCUAACUUCGUG
rnacentral:rRNA from 1 species